rnacentral:rRNA from 1 species
UACGAAGGGGGCUAGCGUUGUUCGGAAUUACUGGGCUUAAAGCGCACGUAGGCGGUGUCGUAAGUGUCAGGUGAAAUCCCACGGCUCACCCGUGGAACUGCCUGGCAUACUGCGAUACUCGAGUGUGGUAGGGGAGAGCGGAACUCCUGGUGGAGCGGUGAAAUGCGUAGAUAUCAGGAGGAACACCGGUGGCGAAGGCGGCUCUCUGGUCCACAACUGACGCUGAGGUGCGAAAGCUAGGGGAGCAAACGGG